rnacentral:tRNA from 1 species
GCAAGCCGCUAUGGUGAAAUCGGUAGACACGCUGCUCUUAGGAAGCAGUGCUAGAGCAUCUCGGUUCGAGUCCGAGUGGCGGCAUGCCAUCUUCU